GACGAACCGAGCGAACGUUGUUCGGAAUCACUGGGCGUAAAGCGCACGUAGGCGGAUUGUUAAGUCAGGGGUGAAAUCCUGGAGCUCAACUCCAGAACUGCCUUUGAUACUGGCGAUCUCGAGUCCGGGAGAGGUGAGUGGAACUGCGAGUGUAGAGGUGAAAUUCGUAGAUAUUCGCAAGAACACCAGUGGCGAAGGCGGCUCACUGGCCCGAUACUGACGCUGAGGCACGAAAGCGUGGGGAGCAAACAGG
rnacentral:rRNA from 1 species